AACGUACGCUGGCGGCAUGCCUAACACAUGCAAGUCGAACGAGAUCUUCGGGUCUAGUGGCGCACGGGUGCGUAACGCGUGGGAAUCUGCCCUUUGGUUCGGAAUAACAGUUGGAGACGACUGCUAAUACCAGAUGAUGACGAAAGUCCAAAGAUUUAUCGCCAGAGGAUGAGCCCGCGUAGGAUUAGCUAGUUGGUGUGGUAAAGGCGCACCAAGGCGACGAUCCUUAGCUGGUCUGAGAGGAUGAUCAGCCACACUGGGACUGAGACACGGCCCAGACUCCUACGGGAGGCAGCAGUGGGGAAUAUUGGACAAUGGGCGAAAGCCUGAUCCAGCAAUGCCGCGUGAGUGAUGAAGGCCUUAGGGUUGUAAAGCUCUUUUACCCGGGAUGAUAAUGACAGUACCGGGAGAAUAAGCUCCGGCUAACUCCGUGCCAGCCGCCGCCGCAG
rnacentral:rRNA from 1 species